GCAGGCGCAAAGAGCUCCCUCUCGUUUCCAUGGGAACCUCGACCCCUAGAAUCCCCGACCCUUGACUCAGUGGAGCAAGAAGGUGUUGCGUCUUCCUGAGAUAUGGGACAGUACAGGACUUCUGGGGGCCACAAACGCUCCUUUUCCUGGAGAUGCAACCCAGUGUGACCCAUUACACCAUCCUGGCAGCUUAUGCUUUCACGCCAGAGCCCUGCUCUUCCUCUUCGUCCUGCUCCCCAAGUUGGCUCCCACUCCAUGGCUGCAGUUCUGGAAGCUGGGAAGUCCAAGAUCAAUGUGCCGUCAUCUGAUGUGGGCCUUCUUAUUGCAUCCUCACAUGGCAGAAGGUGGAAGGGCAAGAGAAAGUGGACUUUGUGUCUUCACAUGGCAGAAGAGCAGAGGGGCAAGAGAGUGAACCCACUCCCACAAGCCGUUUUUGUAAUGGCAUUAAUCCACUAGGCUCUACCCUCAUGAUCUAAACACCUCCCAAAAGACCCCACCUUCCAACAUUGUUACAUUGGGGAUUAAGCUUCCAACAUAAUGAAUUUUGGGGGACAUACUCAGACCAUAGUAAAACUCCAGCAAAUUAAUGCAGACUUACACCCAACUGUAUUAAUAACUCCAUUAAAUAUAAACAUUCUAAG